rnacentral:rRNA from 1 species
UACGUAGGGUGCAAGCGUUAAUCGGAAUUACUGGGCGUAAAGCGUGCGCAGGCGGUGAUGUAAGACAGAUGUGAAAUCCCCCGGGCUCAACCUGGGAACUGCAUUUGUGACUGCAUCGCUGGAGUGCGGCAGAGGGGGGAUGGAAUUCCGCGUGUAGCAGUGAAAAUGCGUAGAUAUGCGGAGGAACACCGAUGGCGAAGGCAAUCCCCUGGGCCUGCACUGACGCUCAUGCACGAAAGCGUGGGGAGCAAACAGG